rnacentral:lncRNA from 1 species
CGACAUUUCAUACCAUCACAAACUUUAACCAUCAGCAUUCCACAACCUCAAAAUAACAGAAAAAAAUAUUCACUGAUUUAGACCCCAAAGGGAGGUUUUGUAUUCUAGCCUACGUGUGUCAUUUUGAUAAGCUUAAAAUCAGAAAUCCGUAUCAAAUAGUUCAUUGAUUUCAACAUAAACUAACAUAUAACUUGACUAAAUAUUUGCUGCAAAUACCCUUAAGAGUCCCUUGUAUACAAAACACCAAGUUCACACUCAUGUUGACCAAAUGGCUAAAACCCAUAAUUAUCCAAUAUUACAAAACCAAACUUAAAACUAAGAGAAAGAUGAGCAGACAUAACCAAAGGAAUCAACUGACUACAGAAUCUGAUUUCGAGAAUGCAGGAAACAACAUUUUAUAAACUGAUAUGUUCUAUAUUUCAAUUCAAACAAAUAGCUUCAUGAUCCUCCAUUUCACAUGUCAAGAAGGUGAAAAAUACCUGAAAAUAAAAUGGAAACAAAGAAGUGCAGAACAACCAGCAAAGCCAACUCAAACCUGCAAUGGUACAGUGAUACACAACAAACCAAAAUUAAACCUCAAACCAAAUUCAGACCAUUUCUUAACCCCAGCGAUAUGAUUAUGAAAUUCUUCAAGAGUUCUAGCUAACAUAAGACUCAGAAAUCCAAGACCAAAACAUAGUUUUAAUAGUUUUAAGCAAUUGAAUUCCGAAUUUUUCAAAGAACUCAAGCGUUACAGCUUUUUCAGAAAUUUUAUUUCUAAAAGAUCUGUCUUGAAUCUCAAGUAAUGAUGCCUUUAUAGGCAAGCUUCCAGGGUAACCUAAAGAAAUCAGUUUUUGCACUUAAAACCCUUUUGAUUCUUAUUUUUGCUCACAUACCCUUAAUUUAAAAACUCGGAUUUCAAACUAGUCCUUAGGCUAGCUUCUGGGAAGCUUCCUAUUUCAGUUAUUAAAGAUUCUUUUACCUAAACGUUCUAAAUUACCCUUCAAGACCCUGUUAAUUACUGUUCUAUUGGCUUGGACCCGGGGGUACUGGACUUGUAGGUCACUUUAGCAGUCUAGUUUUAAUUGGGCCUGACGCCCAAAACCUAAAUCCAAGCCCAAACGAAAUCAAAUCCAAAAGGUUCAACAAACGGGCUUGGACCUAAACAGAAAAAAAAAAUUCAAAGUACUCGAGAAUUAAUAAACUGUGAUUAAUCUAAUUGAAGAGUUACUAAUGCAAAAAAAUCAAUUACGCCCUAAAAAUAAUUCUGACUACUUUGGGCAGAAGAGCAAGCAAAAACAACAAAAGUACCAAUAAAGGAAGGUGAAGAAGAGAGAUAAGACAAUAUAUACAAUUAUGAAUAGAACACAUUAAAAGAAGAAAGAAAAAAAGCAAAUUAAAGCUACAUUUUUGAUUAAUUAACAAAGAAACCAAAACUCUAAUUUAACCUAUUGACUUAACAGAAAAUGGAGAAGAGAUUCGAGCUAUUGAUAGGUAAUUGAACUUAUAGAUGAAGGGAAGAGGGGUAUGCCAAUUAAGCCUUCGAAAUUUUGAGAAUACUGAUGACUUCAAUUCGAACUCCGGUGAACCCAAAACUUGACAAAACAGUAAGAAUUGCCACAUAAAUAUUAGCCGAACUCUCGUUCAUGGCUAAUGAUUCGUGCAACAAUCAUCAACGUGUGCCAAAAGAAAAUAGAAUAGAGGCUCGAAAGGAUGAAAAACUCAAGAAUCAUUUUUUCGAAAUUUGACCAAUUCCACAGGAAGGUCUUCUUGACUGCUAAAACAAAGUUACUUUGUGAAAGAGAUGGGUAAUUCAUGAGGUAUUUACAAUGGAUUGAAGAUUUAAUCCGAAAAAAUUUGGGAAAGGGAGGAAAAAAUUUUGAUUUUUAUUAUUUGAUCUGAAAUUCAGAGAAAUCGGGUGGUCUUUUGGAGAAAUUGAUGGUGGGACAUGAAAGAAAGAAUGAUGAGGACUGUCUAGCUAAAAUUUGGAGGGAUUUGGAGGUGCUCCACAACUGUGAGGCGAAUUUAUGGCGACAGAGCUAUGGCGGAGAUGGGCGGCAAUUUCGGGGUGGUGGGGGGGGAGAAGGUCUAGGUUUUGGUUUAAUCGGAUGAAUUAAAUGGAGAUUGGGGUGUGUUUGGUCGUUUAAUGGUGAGGAAGGACUCAAACAACGUAGUUUGAAUUGUAACUCCGUCAUUUUUAGCGAAUGCGAGUAGGACCGAGUGAGACGGAUUUUGGGCUUGGGUCAAACGAGUUUAAGGGAAUUUGACUUGGGCUUGAGGAAAAUUAGACAUAAAGGCUCAAAUUAUGAUCUCUUCAACUCUUUUUCCUUUUCUUUUACAGUUUUCUUUUUAAUUCCUUUUUCUUUUAAGAACAAAAAGUAAAAUAAAGCCUAAUUUAAUUUCUAACCCAAAUUAUCAUAUCAAAUAAAAUGAACUAAUUCUAAUAAUUAUCAGAACUAAUUAAAUACCAAAUUAAAGAAAAACUAAUAAAAUUCAAAGCUAAAAAUUAAAAAUGCAAAAUAAAUCAUUUUUUGUAAUUUUUCAUUUUUGUAAAACAAGAAUUUACCAAUUAAUCUAAUUAAAAAAAUAUAAAAUUAAAUCCUAAAUACAAAUGCAAUAUAUUUGUGUAUUUUUAUGAAUUAAAUAAAAUUAAAUAUGCAUACAGAAUGCAAACAAACAGAAAAAUUCUACAGUAAUUCUUAAAUAACAAAAUACUGAAAGGAAAAAUUUUAUUUUUGGAAUUCUGUAGAAGUACUUCAUCUGAGGCAAAAAUCACGUGCUCACAACUGCCCCUUUUUGCUCGAAAAUACGAAGGGUUUUCAGGCAAAGAUGAAAUGAGCAAUUAUGAGGGAUUUUUGCCUAUUUGAAACUCCAUAAGAAACAUUUUUGAAAAGAAUCUGACCGAACCUUGCUUCAAAGUUGCAUGCAUAUCCUUGGCUAUAAAGGAAUUAGGUCAGUGUUGCUCUGAAACUUUUAGUAGUUGGGACUAUCGGGAAGCUGUGAUUUCAUUAUUGUUGUUGCUACUACUGCUUGCUGAAUUUCUUAUUACACCAAAAUAGAAAAUAAAAAGCUAAGCUAGCUAAGCCUAUCAACUACAAGUUGUAUGCUUCCUAUCUAUAAAUCGCUUGAAGCUUGAUCUUGAGUUUUAGUUGGUUCUUGCAAUGAAAUCCGAUCCGAAUCUUGAUGCUCAUUAGCUGCAACCACUUGUUCAUUCUUCAGCUUUCGGAUCAAGGGGGGACAUGCGAAGCUUGUGACUUCAAUCAAAUUUUGAGCAGUCCGCAUCCUUCUCCACUUCAGCACUUUGAGUUCACUUCUUUUUGUUUUUUUUCUUUUAUUUAUUUUGGAUUGAGACUCAGUUUUGGUCAUCUCUAAUCCUGAGCCUCGAGGUCGAACCUGCUAAAACACCAAAACAAACAAAAGAACAAAAUUUUUCUUCCCCAGUUUUUACUAGGAAAUAUUUUGAGUUAUUUGUAAUACAAAUCUAAAUGAUUUCUUUAUCGAAAGCAAUAAAAGUCAGGAUUGUAUUUCCUUGAGAAUAGGGAGUGAAACCCUAAAUUGGGAAGAUUUCCAAGUUAUGCUUGAAAGAUGACCGAGUUAUGACGAAAAAGAAAAAGGGUCCUCAGGUUAUGACGAGGAAGUCAUCGGGUUAUGCCGGAAGAAAAGAAAAAGGUCCUCGGGUUAUGCCUGGAGAAAAUAAAAAGGUCCCUGGAUUAUGCCAGGGAGGUCCACGGGUUAUACCAGGAGAAAAGAAAAAAGGUCCUCGGGUUAUGCUGGAAGAAAAUAAAAUAGGUCCCUAGGUUCUGCCAGGAGAAAACUCAAAAGGUCCCUGGCCCUGGGUUAUGCCAGGGAGGUCCACGGGUAAUGUUAGGAGAAAAUAAAAAAGGUCCUUGGGUUAUGCCGGGGAGGUCCACGACUUAUGCCGGGAGAAAAGAAAAAAGGUCCCUAGGUUAUGCCAAGGAGGUCCACCGGUUUAGGCCAAGAGAAAAGAAAAAGGGUCACUGGGUUAUACGAGGGAGGUCCACAGGUUAUGCCAGGAGAAAAGAAAAAAGGUCCUCGGGUUAUGCCGGAGAGGUCCACGGGUGAUGCUGGGAGAAAAGGUAAAAGGUUCCUGGGUUAUGCCAGGGUGGUCCACAAUUUAUAUCAGGAGAAAAGAAAAAUGUCCAUUGGUUAUGCCAGGGAGGUCUAUGGGUUAUUUCAGGAGAAAAGGGAAAAGGUCUCUGGGUUAUGCUAGGGAGGUCCACUGGUUAUACCAGGAGAAAAGAAAAAUGGUUUCUAUGUUAUGCCAGGGAGGUCAAGGUUAUGCCGGGAGAAAAAAAAAGGUCCCUAGGUUAUGCCAGGAAGGUCCACGGAUUAUGCCGGGAGAAAAGAAAAAAGGUCCCUGGGUUAUACUAGGGAGGUCCACUACCAUGAUUUUUUGGGAUUUUUCUUCUUCUUCUCUUUUUUUUUAUAAUAAAAAUGCAGGAAAGAAUUUGGAUGAAACUUCCCAUUUGGGUUGAUUAUUGCUACAAAGCUGUUCCUAGCUCCUGCAUAUUUCCCUUUUUGGUUGCACCCGCUUCUUGCACGGUUGCUUUGGAUUACACCUGUUUCAAAAUUUUCAAAUAAAGAAUAAUUGUUAGUUAGAAACGGUGGUUAUUUUUGUGUCCUUGAUUGUUUGAUCACUGGAUCUUGGCCCAAAUUUUGGUAAGAACCUCUGUCGCUUUCUGGAUUUUCUGAAGAUUGAUCUCUCUCCUAAAACCGAAGAGCUCAACUUUUCAAAAUUUCUAUCGUGACGUCUUGCCCGUAUGGGUCUUUGGUCCUUUCACUUUAUUCUGCCUCUAGGGGCUUUUGCCUUUGGCUUUCUUUUAAUUUUCAAUUAAUUUGGGUUUCAGAGCAUCUACCAUCACGACCAGUUAGGGUCGACUUGAUGCACUCGCUGAGGCUGGGUACUUUCUUUGGACUUGUCUUUUAUUAAGUGGGACUUUGUAAACCAAUCUUGCCACCUUUUAUUUGUAUUAGUUUCGAAAUAGAGUUAGACCGAAAGGUAUUCAAGGAAAAGUAAACAAAGGAUAAGAAAAUAAAUUUAAUGAGAAGUGUCCCUUUCGGGAAAGAAUGGAAGACUUAUCUCGUAUGCAUGCAAACUUCAAUAGACAUGACAUGUUUCUUGGACUCGAUUCCUGAUACGCACAACUAUUCCAACUUCUCAUAAACUCAUUGUAACCCACGUUUCAAAAUUGGGAAACCUUGGGAGGACUCUUUCAAUACUAAUGGUGGUUAGGGGUUUCUUCUUUUUGAUCAAUAGUGCCCUUCGCGGGUUUUCGCCAAUCGACCUCUCUCAUAUCUCUUCUCGCCAUCGCCUUAUAGUGCUCUUUAACGAGUUUUCACUAAUAUGACUCUCUCAUUUUCAAUUUCUCUGCUCACCGUCACCUUACAGUGCCUGUAGGUUUUCACCAAUAAGACUCUCUCAUUUUAUUUUUCAUUUUAAUUAUAUCGGAUCCAAACAACCGCAUUCUCCAAUUUGGAAAACCUUUCGGUGAUUGAUCAGAAGGACUUGAAAGGAUCUAGGUAAAAAUGAUUUGGACUGAAUUACAAUUUUGGAACCAUUUUGGUGAGAUCAUCGCCAACCAAGUUAUAACAUCUGUCCUUGUUUUACUUUUUGGGGAAAUUUGGAUUUUUAUUUUUUUGUGAUUGAACCCCAUAGAGAGGCUCCCUACGUAUCCUUUCGGAAUCAAGUCAAACGUAGUUCAUGGAACAUAUUUUGUUUUUGUUUUUAUUUCUUUUCUCUUUCUCUUUUUAUUUAUUUUUUACAUUCAUUAUUUUUUUAGUACAAACGCCUUCAAGUUCUAAAGAGGGUAAUGAAAGAAAGGUAACCGACUCAAAGUGUUUGGAAAAUGAUUGGAGUGUUUUGGGUAGCGAGGACAAAAGCAUUCAUCAUCCCAAUCGGACAAUGCUAUUGUUGCAGAAGGUUUAGACAUAAUACCUUUUGACUACAUCUGCGUUCACAGCUAUUUCAGGGUCAUUCCCUUCAAUAUAUCCCAGGUACAAUGCUCCUUUUGGCAACAAUUUUUUGAUAAUGUAUGGGCUUUUCCAGUUGGGAGCAAAUUUUCUUUUUGCUUCCUGAUAAUGGGGGAGAAUACACCUUAAAACGAGUUGCCCCACUUCAAAGUUCCUAGUCCGUACUUUCUUGUUGUAGGCACGGGCCAUCCUUUGUUGAUACAACUGCCCGUGGCAGACUAUGGCCAUUCGCUUUUCAUCGAUUAGGGUUAACUUUUCCAAACAGGUUUUGACCCACUCACUGUCUUCAAUUUCAGCUUUAACAAUAAUCCGGAGAGAAGAGAUUUCUACUUCCGCGGGUAUUACGGCUUCAGUGCCAUGAACCAAGUUUUACGGGGUUGCCCCGACCGAUGUGCGCACAAUACUGCGAUAUCCCAACAAUGCAAAAGGCAACUUUUCAUGCCACUGUCUGGAACUUUGAAUCAUCUUUCUCAAAAUCUUUUUGAUGUUCUUGUUUGCUGCUUCACUACACCGUUGGCUUUAGGCCGAUAAGGAGUAGAGUUCCGAUGCAUUAUUUUGAAUUGUUUGCAUAUCUACCCCAUCAAAUGGCUAUUCAAGUUUGCAGCAUUAUCUGUGAUGAUAGUUGCAGGGAUACCGAGACGGCAGAUAAGAUUGGAGUGCAUGAAUCUACACAACUUUCUUGGUGAUAGAUUUGGGCAUGAUUGCUUCAACCAACUUUGUGAAAUAGUCGAUGGCGACCAGUAUGAAUCUGUGUCCAUUUGAAGCUUUUGGAUCAACCGACCCAAUGACAUCCAUUCCCCAAGCAAUGAAUGGCCAAGAUACUAACAUUGAUUGCAAAUUUGUAGGCAGUGCAUGAAUCAAAUCACCGUGCACCUGGAAUUGAUGACAUUUUCGGACGAAACUGAAGCAUUCAUUUUCCAUAGUCAUCCAAUAAUAACCCGCUCGGAGGAUUUUCUUUACCAAAAAUUAUCCAUUCAUAUGGGGUCCGCAAACUCCUGCGUGCACUUCAUACAUGAUUCUUUCAGCCUCUUUAGUGUCAACACAUCAUAACAAGUUGAGAUUAGGAGUCCUUUUGUACAAGUCAUCGCCGCUCAAGAAGAAACCACUUGCGUGCCGUCUAAUGGUUCUCUUUUGGUCUCCACUAGCUUGCUCGGGGUAUUCUUUAGCUUUCAGAAAGCUUUUGAUGUCAUGAUACCAUGGCUGGGUAUUUGGUCCAACCUCAACUAUAUUAUAAUAACUAUGCCUUUCCCGGAUUUGGAUUUCUAUGGGAUCAAUAUCGGUAUUGCCUGGGUAUGGCAGCAUCGAGGCCAGAGUGGCAAGUGCAUCGGCUAGUUCAUUGUGACAAUAAGAGAUGUACCUGAACUCUAAUAACUUGAAAUGCCUGCUGAGGUCUUCCACAUGUUGCCUGUAAGGAAUAAUUUGACAUCUCGAGUCUCCCAUUCUCCCUAAGCUUGUCGAAUCAUCAGAUCCGAGUCUCCCAUGAUUAACAAUUCUUCAACAUCUUGGUCAAUUGCCAUGUUCAUUCCCAUAAUGCAGGCUUCAUACUCGGCAGUGUUGUUUGUGCAGAGAAACCAAAGCCGGGCUGUGGCUGGAUAAUGCUGACCAGUGGGUGAGAUCAAGAUUGCCCCAAUUCCUACACCUUUUGUGUUUACCGCUCCAUCAAAGAGCAUUUUCCAGGCAUUAGUAUCUUCGAAUAUUGCCUCAGCUAAAUUUACCUUUUCGUCUAGAAGUAGGUGCUUAGAGGUUGGUUUUCAUCGUCUACCAAGUUUUCAACCAAAUAAUCUGCUAAAGCUUGGGCUUUCAUCACUGUGCGGGUGACAAAGACUAUGUCAAAUUCAGUAAGCAGGACCUUCCAUUUUUCUAACCUUUCUGUGGGCAUUGGUUUCUGGAAUAUGUACUUUAAAGGGUCUAACUUGAUAAUGAGGUAGGUGGUGUAGGCCAACAAGUAAUGCCUCAGCUUCUGAGCAACCCAAGUCAGAGCGCAACAAGUCUUUUCUAACAAGGUAUAUUUAGAUUCGUAACUUUUGAAUUUUUUACUUAAAUAGUAGAACGCCGGCUCUUUCCUCCCGGUCACAUCAUGUCGUCCAAGGACACAGCCAAAAGAAUUCUCUAAGACUGUUAAAUACAAGAACAUAGGCCUUCCCGGUUCUGGUGGGAUCAAGACUGGAGGGUUCGACAAGUAUUCUUUAAUUUUAUCAAAAGCUUCUUGGUGCUCAUCUGCCCAUUUAAUUGCUGCAUCUUUCUUUAACAGCUUGAAGAUUGGUUCAUAUGUAGUCGUCACCGAGCAAUAAAUCGGCUGAUGUAGUUCAAUCUUCUAAGCAAGCUCAUAAACUCUUUCUUGAUUUUUUAAGGAGGCAAAUCUUUAAUGGACUUUAUCUUUGUUGGGUCUAGCUCGAUGCCCCUCAAACUGACUAUGAAUCCCAAGAUUUUUCCGGACGGUACUCCAAACACACAUUUUGUUGGGUUUAACUUCAAAUCAUAUUUGUGUAGCCGCUCAAAGAAUUUCCUCAAAUCCCGGACAUAAUCAUCCUGGGUGUUGGACUUAAUGAUCACGUCAUCUACAUACACCUCUAUUUAUCGGUGCAUCAUGUCAUUAAAUAUGGUAGUCAUAGCCCUCAUAUAGGUUGCCCCAGUGUUCUUCAGACCAAAAGGCAUGACCCUAUAUUAGUAUGUGGCCUCAGGGUGUGGUAAAAGCUGUCUUUUCUGCACCCUCUUCAUCCAUCAACACCUGGUGAUAUCCUACGUAACAAUACACAAAGGACUGUACCUUAUGUUUGGCGUAGUUAUCAACAAGGAUAUGGAUGUUCAACAAAGGGAAGUAAUCCUUAGGACUCGUUUUGUUCAGAUCUUUGUAAUCCACACACACUCGAGUCUUCCCAUCCUUCUUUAGCACUGGAACUACAUUGGCUAACCACAUGGUGUGCCGAACUACUCAGAUAACCCCCAUUUACAACUGUUUUCUGACUUUUUCUUAAUCUUGUCACUGAUAUAGGUUUUAUCUUUCUUUGCUUUUGUUGGACAAGGGAAUGGUUGGGGUAAGUUGGCAACUGUGAACCACCAAAUCGACACUCAGUCCUGGCAUGUCGUCGUAUGACCAAGCAAACACAUCUUUAAACUCAAACAAGAGUUGGAUCAAUGCAUCCCGAGUUUUUUCAUCUGUGUGAAUGCAUAUCUUGGUUUCCCUGACUUUUUCGGAACUGCCCAAAUUAACCGGCUCAGUAUCAUUUAAUUUUCGCUUAGUUUAAUUCUCAAAUUAUUCUAAUUCUCGAUUUAUUUUCCUAAAAGCCUUUUCUUCAUUAUAUUCCAGUUCUUGGUUCAUUAUUUCAUAGUUAGACAGCAUGUUUGAAUCUGGGCAUGAAGUCCGUAAGCAUGUCAUGUUAUUUAAAGCUGCGUAUUAGAACUGAAAGAAUAAGUAAAAGAGAAAAAUAACAAAAAUAAAAAAGAAUUAAUGAAAGAUGGACAAUGAAAUAUUAAUUUCAUUUCUUUGAAUUUGAAGAUAACAUGGUUUACAUUGGAAAUUAAAGACGAGAAAUUAAAGAAAACAUCCGACUUACAUGUUGAAAUAACUCGUGAUGUAGAAAAAGUGGUAGUACUGGACUACCGGGACUCUCGCCUGAUUGGGAAUGGAGUGGCCUUCCAAUUUUGCAGUUUGGCACUGGGUCCCAUGUAUAGAACCUUAACAGUGCUUGAUCUUUCCCCUAGUUAGACCAUGUGGGCCUCAUACAUCAUCUGUCUCAUGGCCCCACAAAUUUCUUCAAUUUCUUCGGCCAUAAAGGCCUCAUCUUCCUCUUCCUCAUGGUAUUUAGGCUUGAAAAAUGUCACAUAAAGAUGCGAAAUCAACUGAGGCAAGACCCAACCCUUGUUCCUUUUUUCAUCCGCCCUUUUUUCAUCAGCUAAUGUGGCUUGGAAGCCCACACCAAAGUGCUUCUUUAUGGCAGGUAGGGUGACAGGUUCUGUGAUACCUUGCAGUGAUGACCCGAGUCCUUUCCCAAGCUUGUAUCCAUGUUUAAUCAUUUCAACAACGACCAUGAUGGAGGCAUUUGACAUAAAAGGUUGAGCACAAGAAUUUCCCUCCUCAUAUUGGUAUGCGACCACCACUUCAAAAGUUUGAUAAAUUAUAUGCUCACUACCUUCUCUGUCUUCGAGACAUGGGACCGAUGGGUCUCGGUAGAUUCACUGCUCUUCUUCCCCGUGAACUAUAAUCUCCUGAUAUUCAUGUUCGAAUUUCACCAUCUGGUGGAGAGUAGAAGACACAACCCCUGCUGCGUGAAUCCACGGUCUUCCUAAGAGGAAAUUAUAGGAAGGAUCCAUGUCCAAAACCUGAAAGGUCACCUUGCAGUCUACCGGGCUGAUAGUCUGAAUCAGAUCAAUCUCGCCUAUUGUAUCUCUCUUUAUGCCGACAAAGGCAUGCACAUAAACGUUGUUGGGUCUGAUUCUCUCAGUAUCGAUUUCCAUAUGUUGUAGAGUUGACAGUGGGAAAAUAUCUACCCCAGAACCACCAUCUAACAAGACCCCUUUUAACAUAAUACCCUUUAUAUUUAACUGUCAGGUGAAGGGCUUUGUUGUGUGCGGCUCCUUCCGGGGGUAAAUCAUUCUUUCUGAAGGAGACUUGAUUGACUGCAAAAAACCUCUCCGCCAUCCUCUCCAACUAUUCUACAGUUGUUUCAAUGGGUACAUAUGCUUCAUUGAGAGUUUUGAUCAACACCUUUUGAUGUUCAGUUGAGUUCAUCAGCAGGGACAGGAGAGAGACUUGAGAAGGGAACUUUCGAAGCUGGUUGAUUGUCCCAUAGUCUACCAUUUUCAUUUUCUGGAAGAAUGCCUCUACUUCUUCGGCACUAACUGUCUUCUUAGGUGGUAAACGCUUCUUUGUGGCAUUAUUCACUUUCUCUAAUUUGAGAUACUUCUCAGCCAGGUUAGUUUCCUUAACUUCUCCCGAGAUCUCUUCGCCUUUGUAAUACACUUCUAAUUUAUUAUUGUUCCAUUAAAGCGGUGGGAUCUGUCAUGGGCCUUUGGGGCGUGCAGACAAUAACCAAGGGCUCACUCAGCCUUGGUGGAAUUAUUGGCCCCCGCAUCACGUAGGUCCCCUUGGGCACAUACAUUUGAGCUCUUUUAUUUAACUCAAACCUUCUAGGAGGACUCAAUGACAUAUAUUCUUUCUCGCGGCCCCAAAGAACAUAGAGAAUAACAUCUUUAGAGGGUGCUGCCCUAGUUUCGACUUCCACUUUCAUUUCCGUCUUCUGAGGGGUGGUUUUGCUCUUUUUCUCUCCCUUGUCUUGUUUCGGGAUAACUUUUGGUUUCUUUUCCAUACCGACUAUGGCAAUGAUGACUUUUAGAGCUGGGUCAAACUCUUUGUCCUCAUAGAUCAUUCUAAUAACAGGCCCGUUGUUGUGAGCCGGUAGUGGAUUGUUGUUUACAUUAGGAAUAUCUUCGUCCCUUAGCACUAUUCUCUUUUGUUCUAUCAGAUCCUCCACAGCCCUCUUCAAGGUCCAACAAUUAUCUUUAUCAUGCCCUUCUGCCCCUGGAAUGAUAGGCAAACUGGGCACCAGGUUGGUAAGAGGGUGACUCUUAAUUUUGCCUAUUUGGGGGUACCGGUUGAAACAAACCUAUUUGGACCAAUUUAGGGAAUAGGCUAGAAUAGGACUCACCAAUGGUUGUGAAGUUUGUUUUCUUGGGUGGUCCCCGGGUAUGGUAGUUUUUUUGUGGAGGUCGGGUUUGUAGUGAGCUUGGUAAGGAGGUUGAUUUCUGGGAAAUAGAGCUUGGUUCCGAUUGAAUAGUUGUUGUGGCCUUAUGUAAGGUUGGGCAUUCAUUAUUGUGUAUGACUGCGGAGCAUAAGCCACAUCUUGGUGGGGAUAAUAGUGUUAUGGGGUACUUUAAGAGAAAAAAGAUCUGGAUGGACGGGGUUUUCUUGCACUCGAAGUUGCCAUUGUUGUUUCUUCCUUCUUCUUUCGAUUUGCUACUCCUCCAGACCCGCCCUGAAUGGCUUUGAAGGUAGCCUUUAAAGCAAACUGACUAAGGAUUCGCCCUGUUUUCAACCCAUUUUUAACCAUUUCACUGAUUUUGAUGGCCUCCGCGACUGGCUUACCCAUCGCAGACAUCAUGUUUUGAAAAUAAUCGGCCUCUUGGGCUUGAAGGAAGACACUUGCCAUCUCUGUUUCAUCUAUGGGAGGUUUAACUCUGGUGGCUUGUUUGCGCCACUUAAUAGUAUACUCUCGAAAGCUCUCUAAGGACUUCUUCUUUAGGUUUGACAAUGAAUUCUUGUCAGGAGCGAUGUCAAAGUUAAAUUGGAACUGCCUGACAAAGUCCCAAGGCAGGUCGUCCCAGAUGUGCUUGCGAGAUAUAUCUUGAUCCAUAUUCCAUUUUGAAGAAAUACCGACUAAACUUCCUCCGAAGUAAGCGAUGAGCAACUCUUCUUUUCCUCCCUCUACCCGUAGUUGGUUGCAAUACCUUUUGAGGUGGGAAACGGGAUCCCCAUGCCCGUCAUAUUUCUCAAACUUCGGGGUUUUGAAACCCUAAGGGUAGAUGUACGUGUGGGAAUAUGAAUAGGUUGGAAUAAGACACGCUCUUUUUCCCACUCAGCCCUUGUAUGCUUUUGAGACUUUGCUCCAUGCUUUUCAUCUUUCUGGUAAUCUUCUCUUGUUUAGCGGUCUUGUGGUUUUCUCUUGCCUUGUAAUCUCAUACCGAGGCAGCUGAGGAUAAGCACUAGUAGUGAACUGGGUUGGUUCCAUUGGGAAAGAUGGUGUUUAAAAGGUGAAGGAAGAUGGAUCGAAGCUACGCAUGGGUACAGCAGGUUGUUCCGUAGCUGAACAAGGUGGCGCGAUGAAUAUGUUUGAAGCUGCACCGGAAGUUAUCACUUAGGAGGCAGUCCUCGGAAGGUGUUCCCGCAAAGUGGGCUGAAAAUGGUGGGAUUUCCCAGUGAGGUAUUUGGAUAGCUUAUAGGGACAUUGGUAGUUCCACUCGCCUUGGGAAAAAGCUCGGGAAAUCCAGGGAAUGCACUUGGUGGUUCUUUUCCGUUUGUCCAGGCGUCCCACAUCUCCAUCAUGUAGAGACGCAGAAUCCUAUUCUCCUCAACAUUUGCCGACUGAGAAGUUGGGAUAGCUUAGAUCGAGCUAUCCUCCGGAAUAGGGAUCAUUGGAAGAUGACUUUUAGAAAACAUUUUGAUGCUUUCAUUUGACCUCGUGAAGUAUGGAUGUGAAGACAGACUACCAAAAAAUCAACCACCUUACUAUAAAACAUGGACUUAACAUUAGACAACAAACCAGUCAGUAUAAAGCAAUUAAUAGAUAGGUAAUCGCACGUUGGGGGUAUAAUUCACCUAUACAGUUAAAUAUGUUUCUACGUGUUUUGCAACGGUUGCAUGUUUCAUCCCGGCUUCACUUAUUUUUCCCAAUUUUCGUUUCUUUCCACUUUCCAAUUUUCCACUCUUUUCUUUCCAUCUCUUUUCUUCCUCUCUUUUUCUCCUUUUUCUUUUGAUUUUCUUUGGCUCUUUUUUUUUCCUUUUGGGUUUUCUUUCAGUCCUUUCUUUUCACAUCCCCCUCUUAUUGGAGUUAUUUACAAAAAUCAUGACCAAAUCCGAUGAGGAUUGCCUAUAUAUCACGAUGAUGCUUAAAUCAGAUCAUUACGUAGUUCAAGAAAAAAUAAAUGGGGAAAGUAAGGAGAUAAUUUUUGGGAAUUUUCAAAUUUUCAUUAAUAAAACCGCUAAAAAUUUCCAUUACAAAAGACUUCAAACUACCCAUUUCUUGGAAUUUUUUAAACUAAAAAAAACUCAAAAUAAACUUUUAAGCUAAAAACUAGAAUACAGACUCGAUAAAUGAAAAUCAUGAAUACAUCAAUGCUUCAGCACUUGGGACUCGUGGGACAUUAUUAGGUCUUGCCAAGGGCCUACAUGUGAUAUCCCCUUGAAGCUGCUCCAAAUCACUCAUUAUCUGGCAGAUAAAUGUCAUUACUUUAGCGAAGAAGGUGGAUUGAGUCAUGUCCUCAAAUGUUUGGCAUUCAUGACGAUGUAGUCGGAAAUAGCUCUAACCAUUUCUCAGACAAUACCUUUUUCCUGAAGCAAAUGCCCGAUUUUGUUGAUCCCAAGCUUCUACCACCUGGGUGUCAUGCUGGCUUUAAUUUUGCAACUGUUGCAUAUCUUCCUCUAUCUGGGCCAUCAAAGUAUAACAAUGUUACCCAAUGGCCUUAAAGUUCCUAGCCCGUUUGUCCACCUCAUUUUCAAAGGUAGUUAGCUUUCUCCUUAGAUUGAGUAUUGUCCCCUUAUAUUUUCUUUUCAUUUGUUGCACAAACUGUGCACGCCCUUCUGCAUUCUUUUUCAAUUGUGCCCAGACUUUUGCUAGGCUAGCCUCAGAUUUUUCUAGGUCAUCCUGACACUCAAGUACUUUCUUUCUCAAGCUGCCUUUUAGCCUUUCAUCUGCACGGCUUCUUUUCGAGUUUCUAGCUGCUAUCAUUUUCUAGAUUUGAGCUUUGAGGCCUUCAUUUUCCCGAGUUAGCUUUUUUUUCCCCUUCAUCUGCGGCAGCUUGGAUACUCUUACCAAAUUUGAGGUCCCUAAUUUGUCCCUCUAAUUUACUUAUUUUUUGGUCCUGUAGCUUUCUUCUUUUGCCAACCAGCCCACUGCUCCUGCGAGUCAUUAGUGAAUUGUUGAAUAUGUGGUCUCUUGGCAGGUCUCUCAAGAAUCUAAUACCUUUUCUCGAACCAAAUAUUGUACUUUGGGUGUACCUCACCUCUAGCUAGGUCAUGCACCAUAGUCUUAGGUUCGAGAAAUCUGCACUCAUUCCACAUUUGGCAAACUUUUCCUUUCGGAAACACGACCUUGGGCCAAUUCAACGACAUGUCUACUCAAAUCUUUGUCAUAGGGAACAGUUUGAAAUUUUCCCGGUUGGCGCAAAACCCUAUGAGGAGAUAUGGCUAGAUGCUACGGAUGCCCAUCCAGAGAAGACAACACACUUCGGCUGACAUGCAUGCGGCUUAAGUGAGAGGGAGCCAUCCAAACGCCCACUCAAUUCUAUCAAAAGUUAAAGAACUUAAGUGUGGAAACCAAGCUUUGGUACCCUUAGGAAAUUCAACACCCACCACUUGGCUUUCAAAUUCUUUGAUGCAAUUCAAACUGGUCAUACCGUAAUUCAUAUACCCGACACGAUGGCAGAGAUGUUCCUGUAUCAACAAUUGCAGUAGUAUGUUACAUCCUUGGAAGAACUUUCCUCCUUGCCAACAGAUAGUCAAAGCUCGAUCAAUCUCAGAUAAGAUCAGAGGAACCAAAGUGCGGUUAGCUUUCUUGAUUGCGACAUCAAACAUUCUCACGAGGCCCAAUUCUAUGUUGCCUUUUUCUCGCGAACAAAUUACAACACCUAAAAUGCCACUAUAAAAACCAAAUCCCGCCUUGCCUCCUAUUUAUCGUUAUUUCUAGUAUGGGUCAAACCAGUAUUUGGCGCUUCAAACCCCUGGGGAAUACCAUAGUAUUGAUACAAGAACUGGAAAGUGCAAUACCCUUCAGAUAAAUUUCCAUCCUGAAUAUCCCGGCUAAUACUCAACAUAUCCAGAAAUUUACCGAGAGAUACCGGUCUUGGUGACACCGGGUAGCGACUUCUAAGGUUUCCGUUAAGGCCGGCGUAACCCGCAAUUUCCUCUAGUGUGGGUGUGAGCUCAAAGUCAGAAAAGUGGAACACAUCGCGAGUUGGAUCCCAAAAAAGUAUCAAGGCUUCGAUCAUGUCCAAUCUUGGCUUGAUGUUCAAGAGUCCAAUAAGACCACCCAAAAUAUUUACCACAGUUUUUAUACUGCCUUUCCCUAAGCCGUUCCACCAUAUGUGGAGCUCUAAGGGGAUCUCUUUAAGAGAUGCGAAGGGUUCAAUUUCAUCUUUGCUCUUUCUGAAAAUUUAUUAGGGAUUAAAUAAGAAUUAUGACUCACUUUGACUCAACAAAAAGUUAUCACUAAUUUUUCUUUCCCUUUUUUUUAAAAAGAUUUCAUAGAAAAUCCGCCUUUGCAAAUACAACCUUUCAGCGCUUGGGGGAAGAAUGAUUUUAAGGCUGUGUUUGCUAUCCGGCCAAAACCUCAAAAAAGUGAUAAAAGGUGGAUGUUUUUGCAAAGCGGCCUUCCGACGCCUUUUGGGACAUUUAGCUGUUUUAGAUAAGAAUUGCAUCACCCUGCUUAUUUAUAAUAAAUAUAAAUUUUUUGUUGUUUUUUGACUAUUUUUACAAAAAGGGAAGUUGGACCCGAUGAGGGUUGCCUAUACAUGAUUCAUCUUAGUAUGCCGGGUAUGUCUUUGCGCAAGGUUCCGCUUGUUACCUCGUUAACUCGAUAAAGCCAGCUCGGGAAAGCGGUUUUUCUACUACUUGGCAUUAAGAGAAGCUGGGUAGCUCCGUAAUCUGUCAAGGAGGUGGCUUUCGCCUAUCUAUAAGGACAGUUGGAGUUGACGGUCCUAGUUCUGUUAGAGUAAUAUAUCCAGUGAGAAUCAAACUGGCAUAGUUCAGGCAUAUUUAAAAAAUUAAAAACAACUAUAUUUUAAAAAAACAAAAAUUUUGUUUUUUCGAAAUUUUGACAUAGUUUCAGUACAUUUGUUGAUUGUUUUUCCAGAAAAUAGGUAGUUAUCUCUCUUAGCCCUCACAUUGACUUUUCUUUUCUUUUCUCACUAUCCCACAAGCCGGUCAACAUGUAAAUCUGAAGCAAAUAAAUGCACAAGUAGCAAGUAGGAUGUAUCAGGAUGGUAAUUUUAUUUCGGGUACACAUGUCCUAAACAGAUCCAACCCUUGUGUUGAACUCCAAAGUCAAAUGCACGGGAUGCAAACAAAUGUUCUUACUAGGGAUCCGGGAUGAGAUUUUUUAUUCUAAGUUUAAAACCUGGGAUUAUUGUUCUAGACCUAACUUACCUGAGCGGAUAGCUCGAGUCGAGGGGGGUAGCGUACCGGGGAUACAGAAGCUUCACCAACUUUUCAACUUAUCCGAACCUCAUUCUAAAUUUGGAUAAGACUCUAAACAGAAGAGAAGUCACACGAAGUGCACACUCCCCAGAUGAUUUAGAAGACUCAGAGAGAAGAAGGGUUUCAUAGCAGUUUGUAUACAGUUCACACAAUAUCAAAGCGGUAAAAGCGGCAUUUAGCAUAUUAGGCUCAAACAUGUAGAAAAAUUAGAUAAUAGAUAAAUCCAAUCAGAACAGCUAUUCUAAGCUCGAAUUCUUGAACCCUGAACCGAAAUUCGAGAUUAGUUUUCCCCAGCAUAGUAGCCAGAGCUGUCAUACCUCCUUUUUAUACACCCUGAAGGUAUAUAUAUGGGAGUUUUUCCAAUUUAAGUGACAUUACUCGAAAUGAGAUUAUUGUUAUUUAAUCAGAGUCACCACUUAGAAUAUUUUAAUUUGUGUCCCAAGUCACCGGUUUACGUUAAAUCCAAAAUUAAGGAAAUUUUGACUUUCUUUUUGAAGUCUACAAACCAGAAAUUCUGAAUAAGGAAUUCUGUUAACCCAAGGGAAGGUGUUAGGCACCCCGGAUUCCGUAAUUCUAGCAUGGUCGCUUAAACUAUCUUAAUUGGCCUAUUAUCUAAUUUUAAUACAUAUUUUAACCUAUGGUAUAUUUUUAACUUAUGAAACCGCUUUAAUUAUUAUUUUUAAGGAAGAUUUCAACGUCAUCUAGAACGCAUCUUUGGACCACACCACAUGAAAUGCACCAGCAGUCCACGACACAUUUUAUUUAACGUUUUUAAGAUUUGGAUUUGGGUCACAUGAAAUGCACACUCGAGUUUAGAAAGGUAAGUAUUAAAAUAGCGCGCUUAAAGCAACUACACACUUUUAAGUUUGCAAGGUCCAUGGAAAUUUAACUAAAUGGAACGCCUCAAUUUCUAAGGAUUACAAUAGUAAUUAAGUGAGGGCCAUGCAUUUUUGGAUUUUAUUUGGGAUGGCGCACCAUCAAUUCCAAUUUUAAAAGAAACUUGAACUGAAUUUUGGAGGGUCACAAAUUAUGUCUUGCCUAAUAUAGCACGCCUCCGAUCUACUUUUAAAGCCCAACUAAUUAAUUGAGGACUGUUUUGAAGAGAUUAAAAUUACUUUAAAUUAAAGUUCAAACUUGAUCCAUUAGACAAAAAAAACUAACAUUUAUGAGAUCCAGUCUUUAAAAAAAAGCAUGGGCCUAACCUGAGGCCCAAUAACUAACAAAAACGCAAGAUUGUCAAAUUGCCAAUUUCACAAUAGUCCAAGCCUGGCCCAAAGGAAGCCCAAUCUUUAGAAUAGACCAGCUUUGCGAGACCUGGGACUCAAGAUCGAGUCCCUUCAUAGCACCAGACAUAAUGUGUUCGAAUUCAGAAUUACAUGUCAUAUUGCUUCAGGAAAAUCGAAACAACUAUUGAAUUGUAUUUUCUAAACAAAGGCCAAAGCACAUUUAGUGUCAAUUUCUCUUUAUGCAAAAGAUAAAAUCUCACCACAACUCAUUCUUGUUAUCCGACAUUUCAUACCAUCACAAAUGUUAACCAUCAGCUUUCCACAACCUCAAAUAACAAAAAAAGACACUUACUAAUUUAAACUCCAACGGUGGUAUUUGUAUUCUAGCCUACGUUUGUCAAUUUGAUAAGCUUAAAAUCAGAAAUCCAUAUCAAACAUUGUACUGAUUUCAACAUGAACUAACAUAUAACUUGACUGAAUAUUUGCUGCAAAUACCUUUAUGAGUCCAUUAUAUACAAAACACCAAGCUCACACUCAAUUAUUCCCUAAAAAUAAUUCUCACUAAUUUGGGUAGAAAAGUAAGCAAAAAUAACAAAAGUACCAAUGAAGGAAGGUGAAGAAGAGAGAUGAGACAGUAUAUACAGUUACGAUAGAACACAUUAAAAGAAAAAAUAAAAAAUGUAAAUUAAAGUUAAAUUCCUUACUAAAAUUAACAAAGAAACCAAAACUCUAAUUUAACUUAUUGAAUUAAUAGAAAGGGAUAAGAUAUUCGAGAUGUUGACUAGUAAUUGAACUUACAGAAGAAAGGAAGAGGGGCAUACCAAUACCAAUUAAGCCUUAGAAACUUCGAGAAUACUGACGACUUUAAUUCAAACUCCGCUGAACCCAAAACUGGACCAAACGGUGAGAAUUUCCACACAAAUAUUAGGGAAAACUCUCGUCCAUGGCUAAUGAUUCGUGCAGCAUUCAGCAACGUGUGCCAACAGAAAAUGAAAAAGAGACUCGAAAGGAUGAAAAACUCAAGAACAAUUUUUUCGAAAUUUGACCAAAACCACAGGAAGGUCUUCUUUAUUGUUCAAACAAAGUUAUAUUGUUUUAAAAUAUGGGUAAUUCACGAGGUGUUUACUAUAGAUUGAAGAUUUAAUCCAAAAAAUUUGGGAAAGGGAGGAAAAAGUUUGAAUUUUUAUUCUUUGAUCUGAAAUUAAGAGAAAUCGAGUGGUCUUUUGGAGAAAUCGAUGUGGGACAUGAAAAAGGGGAUAAUGAUGAUUGUCCGGUUAAAAUUGGGUUGAUUUGGAGAUGCUCCGCCAUCGUGAGGCGAUUUCCGGGCGACGGAGCUAUGGCGGAGAUGGGCGACAAUUUCAGAGAAAGGGGGGGGGGGUCUAGGUUUUGGUUUAAUUGGAGACUAGGGUGUGUUGUGUCGUUUAAUGGUGGGGAAGGAGUGAAGCGACAUAGUUUUGAAUUGUUACCACGUCGGUUUUGGCGAAUGCGAGUCGAGCUGGGUGGGACGGGUUUUAUGCUUG